rnacentral:rRNA from 1 species
AAAUUUUGAUAAAAAUAUACAAUUUUAUCCGCCAGGGGACUACAAGCAUUAGCUUAAAACCCAAAGGACUUGGCGGUGCCUCAGACCCACCUAGAGGAGCCUGUUCUAUAACCGAUAACCCCCGCUUAACCUCACCAGCCCUUGUUCAUCCCGCCUAUAUACCACCGUCGCCAGCUUAUCCUGUGAAGGCCUUGUAAUAAGCAAAAUGGUUAUAAACCAAAACGUCAGGUCGAGGUGUAGCGUAUGGGCUGGGAAGAAAUGGGCUACAUUUUCUAAUUUAGAAUAUACGAAACACAUUGUGAAAUCAGUGUUUAAAGGUGGAUUUAGCAGUAAACAGAAAAUAGAGUGUUCU